rnacentral:lncRNA from 1 species
UAGGUUCUCACAUGUCCCGAGCUCAAUGCCGCUUGAUGACAUUAGCUCUCUAGAACACAUACCUUCUAAUGGCGAUUUUGUCAACUUUCAUGUCUCAAAUAAACUUAGGUUUAAAUGCAUGAAUCCAAUCUCAUUUACACUAUAGGAGCAUGAAACCACGUCUCAUAUAGAAUGCUAAAUGCAACUAUAGGCCUACCAAGCUACUCUCUACUACAUAGAGGUCCAAAAUUUUAUCAUAUGUAACAUCUGCAUUUUAAGCAUUCUAAAAAUCAUAAUAAAUACAUUUAAUAUGAAUAUGCAUGCUCUUUCAAUUAACGAUACUUAAUUAAGCACAAAUGAGAAUUUCUCAUUGUGUGGCUAGGUCAAACCCACCGAACCGUCGCGUAGGGCCUCGUUUCGCCGAACAAAGUUGUCCCCGAGUCCCAAAAUACCCUAAAAGCAUUGAGCGACAAG